UACGUAGGUGGCAAGCGCUGUCCGGAAUUAUUGGGCGUAAAGCGGGCGCAGGCGGCCUCUUAAGUCUGAUGUGAAAGCCCCCGGCUCAACCGGGGAGGGCCAUUGGAAACUGGGAGGCUUGAGUAUAGGAGAGAAGAGUGGAAUUCCACGUGUAGCGGUGAAAUGCGUAGAGAUGUGGAGGAACACCAGUGGCGAAGGCGACUCUCUGGUCUGCGACUGACGCUGAGGCGCGAAAGUGUGGGGAGCAAACCGG
rnacentral:misc_RNA from 1 species